GCCGGGCGGGGCGGAUGAUAGCAGUGUGUGUUCUGCUGCUCGUGGCCGCCGGUGGCGUUCGCUGCCCGCCGGAGGAAGCUGAAGCAUUGUGAUGAAGGCUGCCUUGCUGAUAGAGGAAUGGUGGGAAUGCUUGUGGCGAUGGACGCUGAGGCAAACCCUGCUCCGCUGGGCCCACGUCCCUCUGCGGGCGGCGCUGUGGGCAGCUGGCUCUCAUCCCGGGCUGAGGACGUCGGAAGUGGUGCGGAUGUGGGAAUUACUGCUUGGAAGAAACGGCCUCCCAUGAGAUACUGAAAGGCCACUCUCAGGUCUCUUCUCCAGCUCUCUCAGCCUGUCCUUGAAAGGUUCCAUCCCCGGGAUCCAACAGGUCCAUGACUCCUGUAGUGAGGACUCCACAUCUGGAUACAGUAUUCCAGGAUUUGUAUCAAUAAUUCUCAUCUAAAGAUCAAACAUAUAGGUGAAGAUGUCUUCAGUCAGUGGAGGAAAUCAGGUAUGUCCAGAUAAACAUUCCUCCCAUGCUUACCCUGGUGUCUAAAGCAGGCUGAACAAUUUGCCUGCUGAAGGUGACUUUUCUCUCCUACAGUUUCUCUGGAUAUAGAAGAAGGUGAGAUGACAACCUAGAUUAGAUUCUUAAAUUUUUUGAUGGCUCAAAUUAUUUAUUUAGUGUUGUCUAAUGUAAAUCUUCAUACUAAUAUGUAAAGCUUGUAAUACCGUCAUCUUGAACUUGCCAGAUACUUACACUUGGCUCUACCUCAUGUCUUCUCCAGUGGGCUCUGCCUAUUUUUAGAAUGUAAAAGCCAGCAGGAUGACUGUGCUGCAGGCUUUAUGUCUUCUUAGUACUGGUGCUGCAACACCCUGCUGUAAUGACGUCCGUAGGUACCUGCUCAGGCAGCUGUGCCAUUGGGAACUCCAUAAAGUGCCAGUACUGCAGCUAUGAUUAAUAGUCACAUGAUGUUUAAAUCAUCAAAUGCACACCAUCCUGUAUCCAAACUGAAUUUAUCUGAAAGAUGUCACAAAGACUGUGAAUGUUUUAAGAACAUGGUGUGCAAAAGUCCUGUGUUCUUGAAGUGCCACAGUUCUGGAUAGAAUUUGCUUUCUGCUAGAUUCUUGUAGGGGGCUAAACAAACUGCCACACUUUGCCUGCUCAGAGAAAAAAAUUACACUCUCUUUACGGGGUUGUUUUGUUGUUGUUGUUAAUUAAUAAAGAAAAACA